GACGUAGGGCGCGAGCGUUGUCCGGAUUUAUUGGGCGUAAAGAGCUCGUAUGUGGUUUGUCGCGUUGUUCGUGAAAACUCACAGCUCAACUGUGGGCGUGCGGGCGAUACGGGGCAGACUAGAGUACUGCAGGGGAGACUGGAAUUCCUGGUGUAGCGGUGGAAUGCGCAGAUAUCAGGAGGAACACCGGUGGCGAAGGCGGGUCUCUGGGCAGUAACUGACGCUGAGGAGCGAAAGCGUGGGGAGCGAACAGG
rnacentral:rRNA from 1 species